GACGAACGCUGGCGGCGUGCUUAACACAUGCAAGUCGAACGGAAAGGCCCUGCUUUUGUGGGGUGCUCGAGUGGCGAACGGGUGAGUAACACGUGAGUAACCUGCCCUUGACUUUGGGAUAACUUCAGGAAACUGGGGCUAAUACCGGAUAGGAGCUCCUGCUGCAUGGUGGGGGUUGGAAAGUUUCGGCGGUUGGGGAUGGACUCGCGGCUUAUCAGCUUGUUGGUGGGGUAGUGGCUUACCAAGGCUUUGACGGGUAGCCGGCCUGAGAGGGUGACCGGCCACAUUGGGACUGAGAUACGGCCCAGACUCCUACGGGAGGCAGCAGUGGGGAAUAUUGCACAAUGGGCGGAAGCCUGAUGCAGCAACGCCGCGUGCGGGAUGACGGCCUUCGGGUUGUAAACCGCUUUCGCCUGUGACGAAGCGUGAGUGACGGUAAUGGGUAAAGAAGCACCGGCUAACUACGUGCCAGCAGCCGCGGUGAUACGUAGGGUGCGAGCGUUGUCCGGAUUUAUUGGGCGUAAAGGGCUCGUAGGUGGUUGAUCGCGUCGGAAGUGUAAUCUUGGGGCUUAACCCUGAGCGUGCUUUCGAUACGGGUUGACUUGAGGAAGGUAGGGGAGAAUGGAAUUCCUGGUGGAGCGGUGGAAUGCGCAGAUAUCAGGAGGAACACCAGUGGCGAAGGCGGUUCUCUGGGCCUUUCCUGACGCUGAGGAGCGAAAGCGUGGGGAGCGAACAGGCUUAGAUACCCUGGUAGUCCACGCUGUAAACGGUGGGUACUAGGUGUGGGGUCCAUUCCACGGGUUCCGUGCCGUAGCUAACGCUUUAAGUACCCCGCCUGGGGAGUACGGCCGCAAGGCUAAAACUCAAAGGAAUUGACGGGGCCCCGCACAAGCGGCGGAGCAUGCGGAUUAAUUCGAUGCAACGCGUAGAACCUUACCUGGGUUUGACAUGGAUCGGGAGUGCUCAGAGAUGGGUGUGCCUCUUUUGGGGUCGGUUCACAGGUGGUGCAUGGCUGUCGUCAGCUCGUGUCGUGAGAUGUUGGGUUAAGUCCCGCAACGAGCGCAACCCUUGUUCACUGUUGCCAGCACGUUAUGGUGGGGACUCAGUGGAGACCGCCGGGGUCAACUCGGAGGAAGGUGGGGAUGACGUCAAGUCAUCAUGCCCCUUAUGUCCAGGGCUUCACGCAUGCUACAAUGGCUGGUACAGAGAGUGGCGAGCCUGUGAGGGUGAGCGAAUCUCGGAAAGCCGGUCUCAGUUCGGAUUGGGGUCAGCAACUCGACCUCAUGAAGUCGGAGUCGCUAGUAAUCGCAGAUCAGCAACGCUGCGGUGAAUACGUUCCCGGG
rnacentral:rRNA from 1 species